CUUGAAAAUACACAAAAUUAUUUUCAAGUUGAGCCAAUAAUCUCAAAUUUAAUUAGGGUUUUAGCUUUAAGCUGAAACCUUUAGCUAAUUGGAACUUUAGUUUAAAAUUUUAUUUCUUUUUUGUGGCGGAGUCUCGGGCAAGGAGCAAAGGAUUUUAACUCCAAAUCUCGACAAAGGCUGCGCAUAAGAAAGAUUUUGGGAAGUUUGGACAUUGAGUUUGCAUAAGCAUAAGGAGCAAAUAAGGUGCACCCAGAUGACUAGAAGACAUUAUAGAAGAUGUUCCAGCGGCAUUGGCAAGCUCCUUUUGCUCCUGGAGUGCUGCCGAGUCAGAGUGUGUAUGCUAUGUUUUCUGAUUAUUUGUUAGAGACUUUGCAAACAGAGUCGUGGGUAUAGUAUGUCAGUUGUGUAAGCGGCUUCGUCAGCCGCUAUGCCAUUCUGUAUUAUGUAUUAAAUUCUAUAUGAUCACAAAUUUUGUUUGA